UACAGAGGGUGCGAGCGUUGUCCGGAAUCACUGGGCGUAAAGGGCGCGUAGGUGGCUUGCCAAGCGUGUGGUGAAAGCCCGGAGCUCAACUCCGGGUCGGCCAUGCGAACUGGCAGGCUAGAGCACGGUAGAGGCCAAUGGAAUUCCGGGUGUAGCGGUGGAAUGCGUAGAGAUCCGGAAGAACACCGGUGGCGAAGGCGGUUCUCUGGGCAUGUCCUGACGCUGAGGAGCGAAAGUGUGGGGAGCGAACAGG
rnacentral:rRNA from 1 species